rnacentral:rRNA from 1 species
ACAUGCAAGUCGAAUGGUAACAGGAAACAGCUUGCUGUUUCGCUGACGAGUGGCGGACGGGUGAGUAAUGUCUGGGAAACUGCCUGAUGGAGGGGGAUAACUACUGGAAACGGUAGCUAAUACCGCAUAACGUCGCAAGACCAAAGAGGGGGACCUUCGGGCCUCUUGCCAUCAGAUGUGCCCAGAUGGGAUUAGCUAGUAGGUGGGGUAACGGCUCACCUAGGCGACGAUCCCUAGCUGGUCUGAGAGGAUGACCAGCCACACUGGAACUGAGACACGGUCCAGACUCCUACGGGAGGCAGCAGUGGGGAAUAUUGCACAAUGGGCGCAAGCCUGAUGCAGCCAUGCCGCGUGUAUGAAGAAGGCCUUCGGGUUGUAAAGUACUUUCAGCGGGGAGGAAGGGAGUAAAGUUAAUACCUUUGCUCAUUGACGUUACCCGCAGAAGAAGCACCGGCUAACUCCGUGCCAGCAGCCGCGGUAAUACGGAGGGUGCAAGCGUUAAUCGGAAUUACUGGGCGUAAAGCGCACGCAGGCGGUUUGUUAAGUCAGAUGUGAAAUCCCCGGGCUCAACCUGGGAACUGCAUCUGAUACUGGCAAGCUUGAGUCUCGUAGAGGGGGGUAGAAUUCCAGGUGUAGCGGUGAAAUGCGUAGAGAUCUGGAGGAAUACCGGUGGCGAAGGCGGCCUCCUGGACGAAGACUGACGCU